UCUAAACUGUGAUAUGAAGGAUCAGCAUGAGUCAGCCCCGCAGAAGGGAAAGGGCAGUUGGGAAAUGCUCUGGGCGGAGCACACUGACACUGGCCGGAUGCUGUAGGGCCUGGAGCGGUUUUAGAAAAGGAGAGGCGGAAAAGGACUAGAUGAGGAGGACAAGUCAAACCUCAGGCCGGUCAUUCCAGAGAAGACAGCCUCUCACAGAAAGAAGGAAAGAAGAGGGACAGACGGACAGAAAGUCUGGAGCACGCAGCUGUUAGCAUUUGUUCAGCAGCUCAAGAGGGCCAGAGCUGGUGUAGUUGCCAUUCUCCUGGCCUGUCCGUCAUGGCUUCAAGAUGGCAGCUUCCAUUCCAGGCAUCGUGCCCACAGUGAGGGCAGGAGGAGAGCGGAAGGCCAGAGUCAGCUGCAGCUGUCCCUUUGUACGAGAAAAACAAAAGCUUUCCCUCAACCCCUUCCCCCGACCCACAGCUGAGUUCCACCUGGAUCUAUUGGCCAGAGCCAGAUUAUCUGGCCACCCCGCUUGCCAGGGAGGCUGGGAACACGAGCAGUUAGCUGUGCCCACGAUCUCUCGAGUCCAGGCAAGGGAGUGGGGUUGGGAGUGAACACAUGGCUACUAUUUUCGGGAGAGGGGUCUUGAGUCCUGAAUCAACUUUUCCUUAUUCCUGUGUUUACUGUUAUUUUUAUAUGUCUAACACAUCCUAAUUUUGAAGCAGAGUGGGAAAGUAAGAAAGAAUUAUGUGCCGAGGAUGAGUAAAGCUUUAUUUGCGAGGCUGCCUUACUAAGGAAGUGAGCUUCAGCUGUUUUGACAUCCCUGCCCUGAUGUUUUGGCUCAGCUCUGCUCAGUUAUCAGGUGCCAACUCCAGCUUCAGGGUCUGUGCUGCUGAGUGUCCUGUCUCCUCCUGUCCCUAAGGGGAUGGACCAGUCUCACCUUCAUCGAGACAAACACUUCAUUUGAGCUGAGAUGGCAGCAUACCUUGAGGCCACAGUUUCACCAGAGGCUGCCCGAUAUUCACACUGCUAUGGCAAAGAGCAGCAUAAUAUUCAACCAGCCCUCUGCACUCAUGUCCAGACGCUGGGCUUAUUCUGCACUGGCUGAUAAACAGCUGCUGCCUGGAGCCCCCAAGUCCUGCUUCCUUGGUCAUCUCAGCUCCUCCCUUAGGGACCCAACCCAAGCUCUCCUCCCAAUCCAACAACGGAGGGCUAAGGCUUGGCCUAGCGGGGGUCCUAGGAUGCUACUCCAGCCAGCACCUGGGCUACCCAUUCUGUGUCCACCCAUUUAGUAGUCAGAUGGCUCCAAUUUAUAAAUAUUUUUAAUAUCGCCCAUGGCAAAGAAUACUUGUUACUACCAUUACCUCUCAUUUCUCUUGACUGUCCAUGGCUGAAGGGCAAAUGGGUAAUGAUAACUAAUUCAAGAAACAGAGGUAGAUAAUUCUAUCACUGAUAGUCUUGGUUUCCUCAAGGCUAAUUAAUAAAUUUCUUGUUUGAAAAUUUGAGCUGCUCUGAUACUAUUUUUUUUCUCCUUAAAUAUUCAUGCUGUAAGUGAAAGGAGACAGACACGAAGCCCACUCUGUAGGAUUCCACUUACAUGGAGUUGGACAAGAGGCAGCGCUGAUCUAUGUUAUAGGUAGUGGUUACCCUGGGCGGGGGGUGCCGACAAGGAGGAAGCACAGAGAGGGCUUCUUAGGUGCUGCUCUUGGUCUUCUUUGUGUUCUAUGUGUUGAGAAUGCUAUUAAUAGCCGUUUAAUGCAAUACCAGGCCCCUCUUUUCUCCUCUCUCUCAGAACCCUGACUUCCUUGUCCAGCCAGCGGUGGCAUGCGCUAAGCUGACAACUGCACCUCCCAGCCUCCUUCCAGCUAGGGCUGGGCCAGGGAGAUGUCCGCGAUAGUCCUUGAUGAGACAUCCAGGAAAUCCCCUUCAGGUGGACAGGCUUUGUGGGCUGCACCCUCCACCCCUCCCUAAGUGCACUGAAGGAUACAUUGCCAGGAGCCUUCAUCAUCCCAAAUGUCCAUUCACAGGCUUGCAUGAAAAAGUCGCCUAGAUGCUGCCUGUUCAACAAAUACAGAGCGCUUACUACCUACCAGUUGGGUGUGUGCUAAUCAGAUGUUACAGAUGCAGAUGCCCCAAAGCCAGGCCUGUAAUUGGCGAUGUGGACCUGGGGUCAAGGACAAAAGCAGGUGAGCCAGAGGACCUCGAUCCUGGCACACAAGGAGGAUGGGGAGAGCCACUGCUAAGCUGUAGCAGAUAUUUGAAGUUCAAAUCUCAAGUUGCAAGAUCUUCCGACUUUUCAAGAGAAGCAGAAAAUCUUGAUUUUAUUUUUCAAAAUUAACUUUGCCAGAAAGCAAAGUUAAUCUAGCUGUGGCAGAGUAAAACUGGACAAAAUUGUUGUAUUAAUUUUCUGUUGCUGCAUAACAAAUUACUGCAAACCUAGCAGCUUAAAUAACACAAAUUUAUUAUCACCUAGUUCUAUAGGUCUGAAGUCCAGGUAGACUUGACUGGGUUCUCUGCUUAGGGCCUUACAAGCUGAAAUCAAGUGCUGGCCAGAUUGGGCUCUUAUCUGGAGGCUCUGAGAAAGAAUCUGCUUUGUUCAGGUUGUUGGAAGAAUUCAAUUCCUUGCAGCUGCAGGACUGAUGUUCUGUUUCCUAGCUGUUGGGGAGGGAUCGCAUAGCUUCUAGAGGUUUCACUCUGGUCCUUCCUAUGUGGUCCUCCAUCUUCACAGCCAGCAAUGGAAUAUUAAAUUCUUCUCAUGCUUUGAAUAUCUCCGACUUCCCCCUUCUGCCCACCAGGAGGAGAAUUCUCUGCUUUUAAAAAGUUCA